UGGAUCACCAGUGAGUGGCGGACGGGUGAGUAACACGUAGGUAACCUGCCCCGGAGCGGGGGAUAACAUUUGGAAACAGAUGCUAAUACCGCAUAACAACAAAAGCCACAUGGCUUUUGUUUGAAAGAUGGCUUUGGCUAUCACUCUGGGAUGGACCUGCGGUGCAUUAGCUAGUUGGUAAGGUAACGGCUUACCAAGGCGAUGAUGCAUAGCCGAGUUGAGAGACUGAUCGGCCACAAUGGAACUGAGACACGGUCCAUACUCCUACGGGAGGCAGCAGCAGGGAAUCUUCCACAAUGGGCGCAAGCCUGAUGGAGCAACACCGCGUGAGUGAAGAAGGGUUUCGGCUCGUAAAGCUCUGUUGUUGGAGAAGAACGUGCGUGAGAGUAACUGUUCACGCAGUGACGGUAUCCAACCAGAAAGUCACGGCUAACUACGUGCCAGCAGCCGCGGUAAUACGUAGGUGGCAAGCGUUAUCCGGAUUUAUUGGGCGUAAAGCGAGCGCAGGCGGUUGCUUAGGUCUGAUGUGAAAGCCUUCGGCUUAACCGAAGAAGUGCAUCGGAAACCGGGCGACUUGAGUGCAGAAGAGGACAGUGGAACUCCAUGUGUAGCGGUGGAAUGCGUAGAUAUAUGGAAGAACACCAGUGGCGAAGGCGGCUGUUCUGGUCUGCAACUGACGCUGAGGCUCGAAAGCAUGGGUAGCGAAACAGGGAUUAGAUACCC
rnacentral:rRNA from 1 species